rnacentral:rRNA from 1 species
CACAAGGGGUGAAGCCUGCGGUUCAAUUGGAGUCAACGCCAGAAAUCUUACCCGGAGAGACAGCAGAAUGAAGGUCAAGCUGAAGACUUUACCAGACAAGCUGAGAGGUGGUGCAUGGCCGUCGCCAGCUCGUGCCGUGAGAUGUCCUGUUAAGUCAGGUAACGAGCGAGAUCCCUGCCUCUAGUUGCCACCAUUACUCUCAGGAGUAGUGGGGCGAAUUAGCGGGACCGCCGCAGUUAAUGCGGAGGAAGGAAGGGGCCACGGCAGGUCAGUAUGCCCCGAAACUCUGGGGCCACACGCGGGCUGCAAUGGUAACGACAAUUGGUUUCGAAUCCGAAAGGAUGAGGUAAUCCUCAAACGUUACCACAGUUAUGACUGAGGGCUGCAACUCGCCCUCACGAAUAUGGAAUCCCUAGUAACUGCGUGUCAUUAUCGCGCGGUGAAUACGUCCCUGCUCCUUGCACACACCGCCCGUCGUUUCAUUGAAGUGAGCUUUUAGCGAGGUGACGUCUAAUUGGCGUUAUCGAACUUGAGGUUCGUGACAAGGGAAAAGUCGUAACAAGGUGACCGUAGGGGAACCUGCCGUCGGAUCACCUCCUU